GUUUGAUGACGUAGUACAGAGGCCACUGAGCCAGAUGUUUCCGUGUUGUUUGGAGAAACUUAGGAUUUCUUUUUUUUGUUGUUUUAGCAUGUUGCUUGGAUGCAACCAGGUAGGCUAACAACAACAAACGAGAAGUAUAGUACUCGAGGACAACGUGCAUAAGAAAGACUUUACGUGAGGAGUUUAUGAAAGAAUCUAAACUCGUUGCAAUUUUGUUAAGAAACGAUUUGGUGACACGAGGAUUUGGAGUGAUGGCAGAUAAGGAGCUCGCCCGCGUGAGGAACAGGUUUGUGGAUAAGGCCACCAAAGAACUGAUAAAUCAGCUCCUGGACGACAUUUUGGAGGAUGAAGUCCUGAACGAAGGGGAGAAAGACUCGAUCCUGGAGGAGAACGUGAGCAGAGCGGACAAGGCACGCUGUCUCAUCGACACUGUGAAGAAGAAAGGAGACGCAGCCAGCAGGAAGAUGAUCACUCACCUACAACGUAGAGACCCUACACUCUACUCUGAACUGGGUUUUUAACCAGGCACAGAGUCUCAAGAGAAGCACAACUCAUCGCUCUUCAAUGCCUCCUGCAGGUGCACCAUGGACGGAGGAGAUUGGACAUUUUAUCAUGCUGUAUUUAAAGCCAUGGAAGAUAAUGGAACCUGUUUACUUUUACUAUUAAUGCACGACAUCUGUUUUUCUCCACUAGAGGUGAAUUUACAAACUUGGAAUCUUUGACUGUCUGAAUCCCAAUGCAUGCUUUAUAUAUUAAUGCAUUUUCCUUUUAUUCAUUUUAACUCAGGGGGUGGUCGGGAUGGAAAUUUGGGGCUCAUUUGUUCAUUUUUAUACUGUCAGGAAAAGUUUUAAAAAGGUUCUAAAUGCGACUUCCAUAAAGUUAUUAAACAUACAAUAUUUACUGGUUAUGAUAAAUGUAUUGAAUUGUCAUAAUGUUUUUUUUUUAGAAGUAAUGGGAAUGAUGACUUUGAAAUUUGAGGCAACUUUUUUUAAAUGUCAGAGAAGGGACUUAAACCACCUCAGGGAUUUCUGCUCUGGGAUUUUAAUUCAAAUGAAAUGCAAUGUGUGAUGAUAUAUUCACUCAAAAUAAAGUCUGUUUUCAUCAUACUUA